GGCGGCGGCGGCGGCGGCGGCGGCGGCGGCGGCGAGUGGCGUGAUGGAGUGUGAGGCGGAGCGCCGCCCCUUGGGUGUGUUUGAGUGCCAGCUCUGUGCCUUAACUGCUCCGUAUAGCUACGUGGGGCAGCAGCCCCCCGGCACCCAGUCUGUCGUCCUCCUGGAGGAGAGCUACGUCAUGAGGGACCCCUUCACCCCCGACAAGGACAGAUUCCUGAUCCUCGGCUCCAGAUGCGGCUCAUGUGGCAGGCUGGUGUGCGUGGGCCCGGAAUGCAGUUUAUUCUACUCCAAGAGAUUUUGCCUCCCCUGUGUCUGGGAGAACAUUGAUGCUUUCCCUCAGGAAAUUCAGCAAGACUUGGAGAAAAGGAAAGUCCCAUCCAAGAGGCCUGCCAGCCAGCUUGGUUCUCGAACAUGAGUCCAGUCGGGUACCAGGUCCGCAGCAGUGCACUGCAUGGGGCUCCUGGCCAGCGGGCUUCUGUGGCCUGGCUCAGAGAUGGGGCCAAGCUGGGAGCCGCUGUCACCGACCUUGUUUCUGGGCCAUCGGGAGCCGUGUCUGCAGCCAGAGGGAGCUGGGGUCCGCCCGCAGCAGCAACACGGCCAGGAGCCACGCAGAGAGGGCGCCCAAAAGGCAGACCCCAGACCCCGGUGCUCCGAAGACCGCAGCACCCCCGCCCUCACGGCGCCCACCUUAGCGAUUGGUGAGACACUGAUUGUGGGCUCUCCAUGUGCCUGCCAGUUCUUAGAGGGCAGGAACUGCUCUGUCCGAUUCUGUAGUUUCCGCAGGACCAGCGCACACUGCCUGGAGGGUGUUAGAAACGUGUUUGAUGAGAGUAUGAAUAAAGGUUUUACUGACCG
rnacentral:lncRNA from 1 species